rnacentral:rRNA from 1 species
GACGUAGGGCGCGAGCGUUGUCCGGAUUUAUUGGGCGUAAAGAGCUCGUAGGCGGCUUGUCGCGUCUGCUGUGAAAUUUCGGGGCUCAACCCCGAACUUGCAGUGGGUACGGGCAGACUAGAGUGUGGUAGGGGAGACUGGAAUUCCUGGUGUAGCGGUGAAAUGCGCAGAUAUCAGGAGGAACACCGAUGGCGAAGGCAGGUCUCUGGGCAUUAACUGACGCUGAGGAGCGAAAGCAUGGGGAGCGAACAGG